UUUGGUGUCUCCGAGAGGAAAGGAAGGGUGGUUUCCUGGACUGUAAGGAUUCAGGGAAGCUGGUGCUGAAGCUCUUGAGACCUUUGAACCACUUAAGGGCAGCACUCUGGCUCAGAGAAGAAUGCAGCAAGAACUCUACAUCUUCAACAUUUUGUAGAGCAUUCCCUGCGAUGUGGAAAAUUCUGCUGGGCUAUUCCCUGAGGACACCUCUACCUUUCGUGUCCAGAAUUGGUGGGUUCUUGGUCUCACUGACUUCAAGAAUGAAGCCGCGGACCCUCGCAACAUUGGUGUGCAAGUGGCAAAAAGAGUCCUGUCCCAGCACUGCAAGGGGAAGAUAAAGGCUCGUCAUCUGUGCGUGCGUCCAUCUGAGUGGAACGUGUGUCCCGGGGGCUGCUGCCACCGCGCCGGUCCCUCCUGUAAUCCGAGCCCGUGUCAGAGGACGCGGCGCCUGCAAGGAAGAAGGGUUGCCGCAGGUGUGGCCAGAUCCUCUAGGCAAGAGGUGUGGAUUCAGGUCCUACUAGUCUUACUCCUGAUGAAGCUGGGCAAAUCAGUUGGCUCUGGAGUAAUUAGUAGCCCCUUCCUCACUGACCAUUGCAAGCUUUAUUUCCAAUAUAUGGGUCCCAUCCCAUUGUAACACUAAUUGAGAACUUCCCGUCUGGAGGAAAGAAGAGAAUGAAUGACAUGCAACAUUGGACCCUAAACAGAACCAAUGACAAACCUGUGAGCUCACAAGCACACUUCUGGAGAACCUGGCUACCAGAGAAGUGUUACUUCCAAGCUGUAAAAUCACUCAGCAAUGCUGCUUGCCUGACAGAGGAAUGGAAUGACUUGCUGAAGGAGUAGCAGAAACACUGACUUGGAGGUGAUGACUUGCAAGAGAGGAGAGUCAUCCUCCAAGAUGUCAGGUGCUGAAGUAUUUAUCUCAGGCCACUCUUAGCUGCCAGUCCUCCUUAUGAAUUACCUAAAGCUAAGAUAAUUUUUUCAUCCAAGGUCACACUCCCUUGCUGGGGAAGCCCACAUUCAAUUACUGGUCAGUGUGGGAGUAUAAAAGCUGGUUCUUUCCCUUCAAUUUGGUACAAUGUGAGGGGCCAUCUUUGCUUCAGCUCCUCAUAUAAGUUGGCUGAGACUUUCAUGGAGGUGAUGUUGUAGCCCAGUUGCUUUGUGUCCAAUCCUGCUGCUCUUUUUCUAUCUACAGGUGUUCAUCUUAAGAACACUCCCUAAAACUUCAUGCUCACUAAUCCCCUUCUCAGAGUCUGCUUGCCAAAGUACCUGACCAGCAACAUUCUUAGCACAAUGACUUGUACAGAGUAUGGUUAUUAAAAAGAACUAUUAAACUUUUAAUAAAAAACUUGGGGGAAAUUAUA
ensembl:lncRNA LINC00923 long intergenic non-protein coding RNA 923